rnacentral:rRNA from 1 species
UCUGUAGGCGGAACAGUAAGUUGGGCGUGAAAGCUCCGGGCUUAACCCGGAGAGGUCGCUCAAUACUGCUGAACUAGAGGUCAUCAGAGGGGCGUGGAAUUUCCGGUGUAGCGGUAAAAUGCGCAGAUAUCGGAAGGAACACCAGUGGCGAAGGCGGCGCCCUGGGGUGGACCUGACGCUAAGAGACGAAAGCUAGGGGAGCGAACAGGAUUAGAUACCCUGGUAGUCC